rnacentral:rRNA from 1 species
UACAGAGGGGGCAAGCGUUGUUCGGAAUUACUGGGCGUAAAGGGCGCGUAGGCGGCCUGUUAAGUCGAACGUGAAAUCCCCGGGCUCAACCCGGGAACUGCGUCCGAUACUGGCAGGCUUGAAUCCGGGAGAGGGAUGUGGAAUUCCAGGUGUAGCGGUGAAAUGCGUAGAGAUGUGGAGGAACACCGAUGGCGAAGGCAGCCUUCUGGGCCAACACUGACGCUCAUGCACGAAAGCGUGGGGAGCAAACAGG